UAUGGCCACAUCACAUUGAAACACCAGUUCCUCUAUGAUCAUCGAGGUUAAGCAGUGUCAAGACUGGUCAGUACCUAGAUGAGUGACCACUUGGGAAUACCACGUGCUA